CCGCGCUCGGUAAACUUCGACUAUUUCCGGAAAACGAGCGCAUGAGACAGUUCGGGAAGCUUCGGAGGGGCUCGGAAGAGGGAAUCCCGCCCCGCUCGUAGCUCUUCGGAGCUUCUCGGCGAUCUUCGGAAUCCCUCGGUAUCGGCGCGGGCACAGCUUCGGGCACACUCGGCUCGGCUCGGAGAGACUUCGGCAGCGCUUGAGGGUGAAGCGUUGGCCCUAGGCUGUCAUGGGCUCCUGGGUCCCUCAGCAGCCACCUCACUGAGGGCUUCCCCUGCCCGAAAACUCACCCCCAGCCCCAAUUCCUGGCUUCUGGAGGGGCUGGAAGGGGCAGCACCGCAGCUCCCCCGAGGCAUCAUGAGGGGCAGCAGCCCUGAAUGCAACAUGGAGCCCUGGGACCCCCUUGGCUGUGAAGGGUCCUGCAGUACCCACCCUACCACGGGCCCGAGGAAGGGACUUACCUAAAAAACCUCACCCCCAGCUCCAUUACCAGCCCUACAGCUCCCAGCCCCAAUUCCCAGCUCCUGGGGCAGCUGACAGGGGCCACACUGUGACCUCUCAUGAGGGCAGACAGUCCUGAGGGUGACGGAGUGGCUGUGAGGGACCCCGGGGACCCCCAGGGCAGCCCACCUCCAGACUUGCCCUUGUGGGGAGAUGUGUCCACCUAACCCCAUGUCACACCAAGCCAUCAUCCCCCCGGGGUAGCCACAUCACCACCACGUUCACCAUUUCACACCCAACCUGCAGAACCCUCCUCACGGCCACCACCUGAGCUUGGCAGCGGCCAAGGUGGUUUGUACCAUCUCAGGGAGAUAAAAAGCACCUCAGAACAGAUUCCGGCAGCUGCCAGAUUGUCCUGACUUGUCCUGCCUCGCCGCUGGCUGCCGAGGGCUCAUUCCAACCCGCUGGCACCUUCCAACGUUCCUGCUGCGCCGCACGUCCCAGGGAGACGCUCCCAGCGCCUUCGCUGUGCCCACAGGUAGUGCUGCCCCAGCCACCAGCCUGGGGUGCUGCUCUAGGAAACCUUCCCAGAGCUGAUUUGUGUCCCGUCUGCUGCAAAUUCUGAGCAGCUGCAAGUUUAGGAGGAAGAUAAUGCUUUAAUUCAAUCACAAAUAAACGUGAAAAGCUUUUACUGAAGUGAACAGCUCUCAUGGUGGUGUAUUCAGGCACCUGGAGAGUGGCUGGUACAGCCACAAGCUGAGAGAAGAGGUCUUGUGCACUGAAGAAAACCUACCUCAGAAGUCACAUCUGUCCCUGUCUGUGCAGCGGUCCUGUUUAUACGCAGAUAAGUAAUUUGGAAUUUUAAAUGUAAAUCUGAUGGUGGAGAAUUUGGACUGGUUGUUGGUCACUGGAGCAGAACUCAGCACAGUGGGCAAAAGAUAGUAGAAGGGUCUUGAGUAUGUUUUCCCUUUGGAGUCAGACUCUGAGUUUUCUAAUGGGGUUGUGCAGGGCAGGGUUAGGACACCCAAGGACUGCAGUGUGUCCAGAAACUCUCCCUCCUCUGAGGUGUGUUCUCAGAAGGAAAGCUGGGAGCUGCCAUGCAGGUCUCCAUGACAAGCAGCCCUGUAACUGGAAUACUUCAUCACUUACUCACAUGCUACCCCGAGGGUACAGCCACCUCCUGCAGUGCCCGCAGGCAUUAGUGGAGCAGGGGAAGGUGAUCAUGUGCGGCUUAGUGUCCCUUUCUGUGCUCUUUGUUGAGCAUCGGGGUAAGGGAAAUACCUGGGAGGAGGUGAGCUCAUACAUACCUCACACUGUCUGUGGGAAAUGGGGGGAAAUAGGAAACACUGAGAUUUCCUUUGGAGGGGAAACAGCCCAACCAAGCCCUGCCAACCUGUGAAGAAGUCCUGACGGGGGAAUAUUUCUAUCUGAACCCAGGAAAAAUAUUUAGAGGGGGCUGUGGCUGCUUUUUCUGAGUCAGUUUUCCUCAGCAGCCUUCAGCCUGCCGUAUUAACUAAUUCCCCACCAGGAAAACUGAAGAGAGAAAUAAGAAUGACCAAAAAGAAAGGCCAACUACUCCUCCACUCCCCAAAAAUGGGAGUCAAAGGGGGAACUUCUCUCAUGAUAUGGGAUUUGCCCAGGUACUGAUAGAUCUCCCAGAGAGCUGCUGUGUUCACAGCACACCUCUCCUGCUGGGAAGACAAUUCUCCCUCCACAGCUGGUAAAGACUUGGCUGUUAUUAUUUGGAGGGUGCAAGUAGGGCUGUGUGUUCUGGGGGGCUGGUGCCAUUCCAUGACCACCUCCCGGCACAGCCCCUCUCCAGCUACCCCCCUUUGCAUGGAAGGAAAUUAAUCUCAAAAGCAAAUUGACAUCCAUGGCUGCCUCUGUUCUACAGAAAUAGCUGCCUGUAAACACAGCUGCAAAAGAGCUUCCGAACUCCAGGAUCUUUGGAUGUGACACUUUUUGCCUAUUUAGAAAGGAAAAAAAAAAAGGCAUUUUCACCAUAUUGUCUGCUGAAACUCCCAAAAUGCACUGGCCAGGCAAAGGAGCCAGGCUCCCAGCUCUGCCUUAAAGCCCUUCCACAGUCAAAGUCUCUCCCCAGCCAUGUUUUUCCCUUCUUUUUAUUUUUGCCUGAGAAGAAAAAGCAGCUAUGUCUCCCUUCUACCCUACGCAGGACGAUUUGGCCAACAAAUCCUGCAGAUUUUAGAGCCUGAGUGAGUUCCAGCUGGAUUCACACCCUUCUUGCCGCCUCUCCAUUUUGUUUUUCCUCCUCUUUUUCCUGCUAGCUCUGUUAGCACCUGGGAACUGAUGUGUCACUGUGGGCAGCUGGAGCCUACAGUGCUGAGCUCCUGUUUCAGAGCAUCACCAGCCCUUUUUCCAGUCCCACCAGUGCCUCGUGUACCUGCCACAGCAGAGACAACCUCACAGCACAGAGCGCAGUAGGAAUGCUGGAGCUGUUGGAAUGCAGGUAUUCCACCACAAUUUAAACACGUGGGGCCACAUCCAGACCAAACUGGGACUCCGGUAACAUCGCUGGUUCCUGCCAGCCAAGCACUGGAGUUGCAGGCAGCGAUUUUCUCGGCUCCACCGCCCUCUGCGGGUUUGCGCCAUUUCCAGGCAGGUCUCGGGGAAAACAACGGCCUCGGCUGCUCUCAGCGCUGCAGGAAACAGAGGGCCCCACACCGAGUCGUGCAAGCACAGAGUGAGUGCUAUUACUACAUUUUGAUUCCAUCUGGGUGAGAAAACACGGUAAAAACAGCCAGAGAGGUAUUUUAAUGUCUUAUUUAUGCAACACUCAUGUCCCCAGCUCACUGCUAGCUCAGUUCCGUCCCUGACAGCAGCAGAAACACUCUGUAUUCCCAAAAGUUUGCUACCAGUGGGCUGCAGCCUCCCUGUUUUGCCCCAAAUCCAGCCCCUGAUAACAAUUCCUAGGUUAAAUAGCAAAGGAGUACCCAGCGCUUGGUGUGGUUAACGACCAUCAGCCCUGACAGGCGCUGGGGUAAGGCUUGCAGGGAGCCUGCAGUCCAGGUCCUGCCUUGCAUUUUUUGGGCAAGCCUGAUGAAGCCAUGGAGCAUCUGCUCAGAGUAAAUGUUGGCCUGUUAUGGACUUGGCAGCAUCCCACCAGCAUCACCAAGCCAUAAAUAAGGGAGUUUGGAGGGAAACCUGCACAGGGCCUGUGCCACUGGAUCCAACCACAGCCCAGCCAGCCAAAAACUCACCCGGGAGGAAGGAAAAGCAUCUGGGAAAGACCUCCCUGCCAGGGAGCUGUGUGGGGCCAUGCCAUAGAGAUGGAAAGCAAAGAGCCACCCGCAGUGAGAGUGAGGUUUUUGGGCAAAAACCCCUGGAUUUAGCCUCUAAGAGAGGCAGCAGUCACCAAGCACAGGCUGGGAAAAACCUCAUUGGCUCAGUUUUGUCAGCAUUGGACAGUUUCAGUGGUGUAGACAGGGAAAAGAGCACAAAUAAAUGGAUGCAGACCCUCCUGCUAUAAGAA